AUUGAACGCUGGCGGCAGGCUUAACACAUGCAAGUCGAGCGGAGAUGAGGUGCUUGCACCCUAUCUUAGCGGCGGACGGGUGAGUAAUGCUUAGGAAUCUGCCUAUUAGUGGGGGACAACAUUCCGAAAGGAAUGCUAAUACCGCAUACGUCCUACGGGAGAAAGCAGGGGAUCUUCGGACCUUGCGCUAAUAGAUGAGCCUAAGUCGGAUUAGCUAGUUGGUGGGGUAAAGGCCCACCAAGGCGACGAUCUGUAGCGGGUCUGAGAGGAUGAGCCGCCACACUGGGACUGAGACACGGCCCAGACUCCUACGGGAGGCAGCAGUGUGAAAUAGUGGACAAUGGGGGGAACCCUGAUCCAGCCAUGCCGCGUGUGUGAAGAAGGCCUUAUGGUUGUAAAGCACUUUAAGCGAGGAGGAGGCUACUGAGACUAAUACUCUUGGAUAGUGGACGUUACUCGCAGAAUAAGCACCGGCUAACUCUGUGCCAGCCGCCGCAGUAACAC
rnacentral:rRNA from 1 species